rnacentral:rRNA from 1 species
UGGCCCCAGAUCGUUUACCGUGAAAAAAUUAGAGUGUUCAAAGCAGGCAGAUCCAAUUUUCUGCCACCGAAUACAUUAGCAUGGGAUAAUGGAAUAGGACCCUGUCCUCCUAUUUUCAGUUGGUUUUGGCAGCGCGAGGACUAGGGUAAUGAUUAAUAGGGAUAGUUGGGGGCAUUAAUAUUUAAUUGUCAGAGGUGAAAUUCUUGGAUUUAUGAAAGAUUAACUUCUGCGAAAGCAUCUGCCAAGGAUGUUUUCAUUAAUCAAGAACGAAAGUUAGGGGAUCGAAGACGAUCAGAUACCGUCGUAGUCUUAACCAUAAACGAUGCCGACCAGCGAUUAGGAGACGUUGAAUACAAAACACCACCAUCGGUGCGGUCGUCCUUGGCGUCUCGGUCCUUCACGGGGCCGGGGCGCGGGGGCGGCUUAGCCCGGUGGCACCGGUGAAUGACUCCCCUAGCAGCUUGUGAGA